CUAUUCACCUUCUGUUUUGUUUAUCACUGUGGAGAUUUACUCUGUAUUGGAGACUAUCUCCUUGCUAUCCUUUAUAUCUCAUGGAAAAAGAAAAUUACUGCUCUUAAAUUAAAUUACUGCUUUUAUCGAGGUCGAAAGAUGAAGCAACAAUCAAAGGUUAUUUUGAGCUUUUCUUUCUUGAUUCAAAAUGAUGUAAAAGUAAGCUUACAACUAAGGUUUGUACUUAUAUUCUGUUCGCACCAUAAAUUUCAAUGAUAUAUUAAUGUCCAUUAUAGACGCAUAGAAAUUAUUACAAUUACAUGCGCCUUUGUGAUUUUAUUGUUGAUUUGUCAUCUGAAAUAUAACUGUUUCCUAUUUGAUUUGUCACAAUUGCUUGGUGAGCUGAUGUGGAAAGUCCUUCCGUGAAUGGUGCAGAAGCACAAAACGAAAAUUGUGUCACCAUCGAGUAUAUUAGGGAUGAUUGUAUUUGGCCAAGCAUCCAUUAAUCAAUGUGCCGAAUUUACAGAUGAUUAAGCUGAUGUAGAGCUUCAAAUCUAAGGAGUAUGUUCAUCAGACAUUCGCUUGGAUGCACCAAUCAGACACGCCUAUCAUGAAAUAUUGUGACAGAAUUAAAGAAGUUAUUGAAGUAACAUAGAAUUAUAUUUUGUAAAAGCAAAUGAAAAUUGAAUACCUGUUUGGUUGUUUCAUUAUCAAUUAAUGUAUCCCCCUCUAUGUCGAACCUUGAGUUCCAAUUCCAAUCAGGAACAUAUAGUCUAUUCUUUA